UUUAGUGUCACCUAAGUAAUUUUUUGAAUGAAAAUGGGAUUUUGGAAGAAUUUCAGUCUGGUUUUAAGCCAUUUCAUAGCACAGAUUUGCCUCUGG